rnacentral:rRNA from 1 species
CUCCGCCCGGUUUUUUCAAAACAUCUCUAUAUGAAGAUUUAUAAAGUAUAACCUGCCCACUGAUAAAUUAAAGGGCCGCAGUAUUUUGACUGUGCAAAGGUAGCAUAAUCAAUAGUCUUUUAAUUGAAGGCUUGAAUGAAUGGUUGGACGAGAAAUAAACUGUCUCUUUUUAAAUAAAUUGAAAUUUACUUUUAAGUAAAAAGGCUUAAAUUAUUUUAAGGGACGAUAAGACCCUAUAAAUCUUUAUAUUAAAUAUUUUUUAUUUUAUAAAUAUAAGUAAAAAUAAAUAAAUAAUAUAUAAUAUUUUAUUGGGGUGAUAUAAAUAUAAUAAAUAACUAUUUAACUUUAAUUACAAUAAUUUUUGAUUUAUUUUCAAGAUCCUUUAUUAAGAUUUUAAGUUUAAGUUACUUUAGGGAUAACAGCGUUAUUUUUUUUAAGAGUUCCCAUCAAAAAAAAAGUUUGCGACCUCGAUGUUGAAUUAAAAUAUCCUUAUGGUGCAGAAGUUAUAAGCGAAAGUCUGUUCGACUUUUAAAAUUUUACGUGAUCUGAGUUCCCAGAACCGGG